UUCGGCGACCAUAGCGGAGGGGUUACACCUGGUCUCGUUUCGAUCCCAGAAGUAAAGUCCUCCUGCGUUUUGAGUGGUACUAUAAUGUCUUUUAUGGGAAGCUUGAAACGUUGCCGGCC
rfam:Methanobacterium sp. A39 contig_44, whole genome shotgun sequence.